UUGUGGGUGCUGUUAUGGAUUCUUAUUUUGCCAUUAAUUUCAGUUAUUUCUAUGAACCAUAUAUAUGAUUUUCAUUUUUGAGACCUUGAAUAUAGGACAGUUUCUGGUUUGGUUUGCCUUUGUAUCUCUCACACUAGAUGCUGAUAAAGCCUCCUUCCAAGGAAAAUUCCAUUUAUAUUUAGUUAGAAUUUUAUUACUUUUUAUUUUUUAUUCUGAUAACUCAGUACUCUAGUUUUUUCACAGGUUUUAGAUAACAAGGAUGAUGAAGUGUGAGUCAGCAGAACAAGUGUGACCUUAUUGUCAAUCUUAAAACUUCAGUAAACCAAAAAGUUAGGGAUACCAGUUUUCAUAGAGAAGGUGCUGACAUUCAUGUAGAUGUUGGUUUGUGUAUCACUCAGAUUGGUAUAACUAGGGAGGCUCCAACCAAAGCAAGACUUGGACUUGUCAUGAGCUUUCACAUAGAGAUGUUAUGGGGAAAGUAAAGCUUCUAAGUGACAAGUUAGAGAGCUUAUUUCAUUUUAGUACGUUUAUUUUAAAUGUAUUCAUGUUGUAAUUUCAAUACUAUGUAAGUAUAUGGUUGUGUUAUUUUAAAUUAUUGUAUAUAAUUGUAUUAUUCUAGUGGAUUUACAAUUUCUUAUAUGUUUUUUAUAUGUAUUUCUUUUAAUGAUAAAGUCAUUCUUUACAGCCCUUCUUGUUGAGGAGCUGUAUUUUUGUUUU